AGCCGCCCCCACCCUCCAGGAGCUCUAUCGCAAAUCCCCAGGCCGCGCCGACUGCCAGCUGACAGAAAUGUUUAGUCAGCAACCAGUGAGAGAGGAGCGGCCGCCCCCCUCCAUCCUUCCCGGCUCCUUCCCGUGGUACCUUCCCCGCCGCCAGCAGCGCCAGGGAAAGAAACACCCUUUUGCUCCCCAACCCCUCCCCAAAACGUUUCUGGAAUCACAGCAGAGAUGUCCAUGAACUGACAUUAACCAUGAAGGGGAUGCUCAUUCUCACCUUCAAGUAGGCUGAAAGCCAGAGGGCAGGUUUUCCUGAUCUAACACCCAAGAGCAGAGAGACACCUGCAAAGCAUAUGCCAUGCUAGAGGCUCCAUUCCUUGCUCCUCACAUGAACUUUAUAUUUAAUUUAAAUUUAAGCUACUAAAUGCACAGAGCAGCAGCAGAGCAAUACAAGAGGAGCUCUGAAUUCAGCAAUCAGACCUAUAAGCAAAACUUGAUAGUUUAUAAGAACAGGCCCUGCUUCCUUUCUCCAAACACAUAUGCUUGCUACUUUCAAAUGCUAUAUAAUUCACAAAGCCUACAGAGCUCAGUAUUAAGUGCUGAACAGCUUAUUUAGAAUGGUUUUACACACAGCAACCUUUGAAGUCUAUCAUCAUAAAUCAGCAGUACCUGAUGAACAGGGCUUGUUUCUCCUAAGACCACUACAUUUCAUCAAUCGUGAGAGGCUUAAUACAGGGAGCAAGUAACCUAGAUAAAACUGAGUUCUCACUGUGAAAGGCUGUCCUUACCAGAAGGUUUCAAAUAACUAGAGUCACUCUUGCAACCAAGUUCCCAGUUCAGGCGAGUUGGAAUAAAGUUUUCAACAGCUAAACACAAA